rnacentral:rRNA from 1 species
CGCAUCUGUGCAUGCAGCAUAUCAAUAAGCGGAGGAAAAGAAACUAACAAGGAUUCCCCUAGUAACGGCGAGUGAAGCGGGAAGAGCUCAAAUUUGAAAUCUUAAAGGGUUUUCCCUUGACGAAUUGUAGUUUAAAGAUGUGUUUUCUGUUGAAGUUUUGGUAAAAGUUCUUUGGAAUAGGACAUCAUAGAGGGUGAGAAUCCCGUAUUUGACCAUUUACUUUUCAGCUUUGUGAUACACUUUCAAAGAGUCGGAUUGUUUGGGAAUGCAGUCCAAAAUGGGUGGUAAAUUUCAUCUAAAGCUAAAUAUUGGCGAGAGACCGAUAGCGAACAAGUACCGUGAGGGAAAGAUGAAAAGAACUUUGAAAAGAGAGUUAAACAGUACGUGAAAUUGUCAAAAGGGAAGCGCUUGACACCAGUGUUGUUUUUCUGAAAAUCAAUUAAAGAACUGUUUAUGCUAAGUUGUUUAGACUUUAUCAGCUAACUGUUUAGUUUUGAGCUUUUCUUUAAUGCACUUUUCAGUUAACAAGUCAACAUCAAUUUCUUUUGCUGUAAAAAAGCUUGAGGAAGGUGGCUUGAGAUUCGUCUUAAGUGUUUAUAGCCUCUUGCCUAUGCAGUCGGAGAGAUUGAGGUCUGCAGCGUAGAUCCUUCGGGGCUAAAUGCAUUUGUGCUAAGUUAUAGCAUUUUAUAGACAACUUGUUGACUAUGAUUUGUCUUGUAGCUUACUCGCUUAUGUUAUUUUACCUACGCUUAGGAUGUUGAUCUCUCACAGUCGAGC